rnacentral:lncRNA from 1 species
AUUCGUUACUACAUGAAGGAUCCGUUCAUGCUCAAGGAUGAUUUUUAAUUUUUGAUACCAGCUAUCGAAAUUAGGCCUAUGAGCUUUUCAUUAUCUAAUAAUGACCGGAGGGAUAGGGUAGUGGCAAUAGCUACAUAAAGAAAAACCAGACCUCUAUUAGUACAUAAAUUAUAAAUACUAAAGACUUGGACUUUAGUCUAAAGUUUCUCCCAGUAUUUUUACGAACCGGUAGUCUCAACCUCCAAUUUGAAGAAUUACUUUAAUUCCUUAGUGGGUACUAGAAUCCACACAGACUACACACGAGCCCAACUUUGGUUGGUCAACCCAUGUGCAUCUAUGGGUAGGUUCAUAACCAGUUGUUUUUCUAAACAACUUCUAGUAAUUGAUUUUGCCCCAGAACCUAAUCAGUAGGCUUUGGCCUCCACUGAAAAGAUCUGGUUAGGGCCAACCAUUAACAUGAUUUGAUUUGAUGAAUCGAACCAAUAAAUAAUCAAGCCCGACUUUGGCCGGCCAACCUGACCACCAUCAGAAAGACUCAAACCAAAUUAUCAUAUUAUGAAUGAUAAUUCCAUUAGUCAAUAAGCACCAGGCCUUUGGGCCUCCAAUGAUUAUUAAACUAAUGGACUCAUUAUCACUCACUUAAUGGGAGGCUAUGACUUAGUUAUCAGUAUAAGUUAAUCAUUUUUAGAGACUUAAUAAUUUUUGAGGAUUUUAUUAAAGGAUAGAUGAGAAAAAAAUAUCCAGCCAAUUUCAAUCCUCCCACUGACUUCACCAAGUCAGAUUAAAAAAGAUUUAAUUAAAGCUGGCAUUAGGAGCACCUAAAUCAGUCAAACUGAUUUACCUAAUGACAUGGGUGAGCCCUAAUCACCAAGUGAUCUAAUCAAAAUCUAAUUCACCAGGUUGGCCAGGUAAGUGAGAUCAAUGGUGGGGAUAAGCCAUUAACU